AGCUGCCAUAGCUUAUGGCUAGAGCAAUGGGAGGGGGGCCCGACAGACUUGAGGUGGGCUUGGAAGCGGCCAUCCUUUGAAGAAAGCGUAAUAGCUCACUGGUCUAGCUCCUAUGAUGGCACCGAAAAUGUAUCAGGGCUCAAGUGAUUCACCGAA